UACGUAGGGGGCAAGCGUUGUCCGGAAUCAUUGGGCGUAAAGAGCGUGUAGGCGGCUCGGUAAGUCCGCUCUGAAAGCCCGGGGCUCAACCCCGGGAGGCGGGCGGAUACUGUCGGGCUAGAGUCCGGAAGAGGCGAGUGGAAUUCCUGGUGUAGCGGUGAAAUGCGCAGAUAUCAGGAGGAACACCAAUGGCGAAGGCAGCUCGCUGGGACGGUACUGACGCUGAGGUGCGAAAGCGUGGGGAGCAAACAGG
rnacentral:rRNA from 1 species